rnacentral:tRNA from 1 species
AGUUAAUGAGCUUGAAUAAGCAUAUGCUUUGAAAGCAUAAGAUAGAAAUAUAAUUUUCUAUUGACUU